rnacentral:tRNA from 2 species
UGGGGCGUCGCCAAGUGGUAAGGCAUCGGACUUUGACUCCGCCAUUCGUAGGUUCGAUCCCUACCGCCCCAG